rnacentral:rRNA from 1 species
UGGGGAAUUUUGGACAAUGGGCGCAAGCCUGAUCCAGCCAUGCCGCGUGCAGGAUGAAGGCCCACGGGUUGUAAACUGCUUUUGUACGGAACGAAAAGCCUCUUUCUAAUAAAGAGGGGUGAUGACGGUACCGUAAGAAUAAGCACCGGCUAACUACGUGCCAGCAGCCGCGGUAAUACGUAGGGUGCGAGCGUUAAUCGGAAUUACUGGGCGUAAAGCGUGCGCAGGCGGUCUUGCAAGACAGUGGUGAAAUCCCCGGGCUCAACCUGGGAACUGCCAUUGUGACUGCAAGGCUGGAGUACGGCAGAGGGGGAUGGAAUUCCGCGUGUAGCAGUGAAAUGCGUAGAUAUGCGGAGGAACACCGAUGGCGAAGGCAGUCCCCUGGGACUGUACUGACGCUCAUGCACGAAAGCGUGGGGAGCAAACA